rnacentral:rRNA from 1 species
AUUGAACGCUGGCGGCAGGCCUAACACAUGCAAGUCGAGCGGAGCGGCGGACGGGUGAGUAAUGCCUAGGAAUGUGCCUGGUAGUGGGGGAUAACGUCCGGUAACGGGCGCUAAUACCGCAUACUAUCAGAUGAGCCUAGGUCGGAUUGGCUAGUGGGUGGGGUAAAGGCCCAACAAGGCGACGACCCGUAACUGGUCUGAGAGGAUGAUCAGUCACACUGGAACUGAGACACGGUCCAGACUCCUACGGGAGGCAGCAGUGGGGAAUAUUGGGCAAUGGGCGAAAGCCUGAUGCAGCCAUGCCGCGUGUAUGAAGAAGGUCUUCGGAUUGUAAAGCACUUUAAGUUGGGAGGCGUUACCAACAGAAUAAGCACCGGCUAACUACGUGCCAGCCGCCGCGGUAAUAC